UACGUAGGGUGCAAGCGUUGUCCGGAAUUAUUGGGCGUAAAGAGCUCGUAGGCGGCCUGUCGCGUCGUCCGUGAAAACCUGGGGCUCAACUCCAGGCUUGCGGUCGAUACGGGCAGGCUAGAGUUCGGUAGGGGAGACUGGAAUUCCUGGUGUAGCGGUGAAAUGCGCAGAUAUCAGGAGGAACACCGGUGGCGAAGGCGGAUCUCUGGGCCUUACCUGACGCUGAGGCGCGAAAGCUAGGGGAGCGAACAGG
rnacentral:rRNA from 1 species